GAUGGCGUGGCCGAGUGGUUAUGGCGGUACGUUUAGGUAAUCCAAUACCAUCCGUACUGGGAAACCGCGCGAGUUCGAAUCUCGUCGCCAUCA